rnacentral:rRNA from 1 species
GUGGGGAAUUCUGGACAAUGGGCGCAAGCCUGAUCCAGCAAUGCCGCGUGCAGGAAGAAGGCCUUCGGGUUGUAAACUGCUUUUGUACGGAACGAAAAGGCUCUGGCUAAUACCUGGAGCUCAUGACGGUACCGUAAGAAUAAGCACCGGCUAACUACGUGCCAGCAGCCGCGGUAAUACGUAGGGUGCGAGCGUUAAUCGGAAUUACUGGGCGUAAAGCGUGCGCAGGCGGUGCUGUAAGACAGGCGUGAAAUCCCCGGGCUCAACCUGGGAAUUGCGCUUGUGACUGCAGCGCUGGAGUGCGGCAGAGGUGGAUGGAAUUCCGCGUGUAGCAGUGAAAUGCGUAGAUAUGCGGAGGAACACCGAUGGCGAAGGCAAUCCCCUGGGCCUGCACUGACGCUCAUGCACGAAAGCGUGGGGAGCAAACAGGAUUAGAAACCCCAGUAGUCC